rnacentral:rRNA from 1 species
GACGAACGCUGGCGGCGUGCUUAACACAUGCAAGUCGAACGGGCCUGUCUUCUUUUUUGGGGGGUGGGUUGAGUGGCGAACGGGUGAGUAUCACGUGAGUAACCUGCCCUUCGGUCCUGGAUAACCGCUUGAAAGGGCGGCUAAUACGGGGUGGUCCGGUUGGUCCGCAUGGGCUGGUCGGGAUAGAUUCACUGUUUUUGGUGUUUCGGCGGGGGAUGGGCUCGCGGCCUAUCAGCUUGUUGGUGGGGUGAUGGCCUACCAAGGCGGUGACGGGUAGCCGGCCUGAGAGGGUGGGGGGCGACACUGGGACUGGGAUACGGCCCAGACUCCUGCGGGAGGCAGCAGUGGGGGGGAUUGCAGAAGGGGCGGAAGCCUGAUGCAGCGACGUCGCGUGAGGGAUGGAGGCCUUCGGGUUGUGAACCUCUGUUUCCGGUGGUGAAGGCCCUGUCCGUGUGGUGGGGUUGACGGUAGCCGGGGAUGAAGCGCCGGCUAACUACGUG